CCUACGGGUGGCUGCAGUGGGGAAUAUUGCACAAUGGGGGAAACCCUGAUGCAGCGACGCCGCGUGAGUGAAGAAGCGUUUCGGCGCGUAAAGCUCUGUCAGCGGGGAAGAAACACGGUUCGCGAGAGCAGCGGACGGUACCCGACCAAGAAGCCCCGGCUAACUACGUGCCAGCCGCCGCGGUAAUACGUCGGGGACAAGCGUUAUCGGGAUUCCCUGGGGGUAAAGGGAGCGUAGACGGCGAGACAAGUCUGGAGUGAAAGGCCGGGGCCCAACCCCUGGACUGCUCUGGAAACUGCCUGGCUGGAGUACAGGAGAGGUAAGUGGAAUUCCUAGUGUAGCGGUGAAAUGCGUAGAUAUUAGGAGGAACACCAGUGGCGAAGGCGGCUUACUGGUCUGUAACUGACGCUGAGGUUCGAAAGCGUGGGUAGCAAACAGGAUUAGAUACCCGAGUAGUC
rnacentral:rRNA from 1 species